CAGCAGCCACGGUAAUACGUAGGUGGCAAGCGUUGUCCGGAAUUAUUGGGCGUAAAGCGCGCGCAGGCGGAUAGGUCAGUCUGUCUUAAAAGUUCGGGGCUUAACCCCGUGAUGGGAUGGAAACUGCCAAUCUAGAAUAUCGGAGAGGAAAGUGGAAUUCCUAGUGUAGCGGUGAAAUGCGUAGAUAUUAGGAAGAACACCAGUGGCGAAGGCGACUUUCUGGACGAAAACUGACGCUGAGGCGCGAAAGCCAGGGGAGCGAACGGGAUUAGAUACCCCCGUAGUCCCUGUCUCUUAUACA
rnacentral:rRNA from 1 species